rnacentral:tRNA from 1 species
GUAAGACCUACAGGCCACACCCUGCAUCAUCUGAAUGCAACUCAGACAUUUUACUUAAACUAAAGCCUA